AACGAACGCUGGCGGCAGGCCUAACACAUGCAAGUCGAACGCUGUAGCAAUACAGAGUGGCAGACGGGUGAGUAACGCGUGGGAAUCUACCCAAUGGUACGGAAUAACUCAGGGAAACUUGAGCUAAUACCGUAUGUGCCCGAAAGGGGAAAGAUUUAUCGCCAUUGGAUGAGCCCGCGUCGGAUUAGCUAGUUGGUGGGGUAACGGCCCACCAAGGCGACGAUCCGUAGCUGGUCUGAGAGGACGAUCAGCCACACUGGGACUGAGACACGGCCCAGACUCCUACGGGAGGCAGCAGUGGGGAAUAUUGGACAAUGGGCGCAAGCUUGAUCCAGCCAUGCCGCGUGAGUGAUGAAGGCCCUAGGGUUGUAAAGCUCUUUCGACGGGGACGAUAAUGACGGUACCCGUAGAAGAAGCCCCGGCUAACUUCGUGCCAGCCGCCGCCGUAA
rnacentral:rRNA from 1 species